CAGCACAGAGUAUGAGGUGCUUCAGCUAAGGAUCUGCUAAUCCAGUGCUUUAAAAAGAGUACACAUCAGGUUAUGAAACAAAGGGAGGAGCGGCAGACAGGUGAGGACAUAAAAGGGAAAAUAUGUAGUCAGACGGCCUGACUCCAUUUCAUACUUCGACAGCAGGAGGAAGAAAACAGGGCUGGAGAAGAUGAGUGAGGAAGAGGACACGUGUUCAGUCUCCAGCUGUCUGUCUCUGAAGAGUGACCGGUCUAAAGAAUUACCUAUAGUCUUCAGUAAUGAACCUGGACCCUCA